GAUGAACGCUGGCGGCGUGCCUAAUACAUGCAAGUCGAGCGAACAGACGAGGAGCUUGCUCCUCUGACGUUAGCGGCGGACGGGUGAGUAACACGUGGAUAACCUACCUAUAAGACUGGGAUAACUUCGGGAAACCGGAGCUAAUACCGGAUAAUAUAUUGAACCGCAUGGUUCAAUAGUGAAAGACGGUUUUGCUGUCACUUAUAGAUGGAUCCGCGCUGCAUUAGCUAGUUGGUAAGGUAACGGCUUACCAAGGCAACGAUGCGUAGCCGACCUGAGAGGGGAAUCGGCCACACUGGAACUGAGACACGGUCCAGAUCCCUAGGGGAGGCAGCAGUAGGGAAUCUUCCGCAAUGGGCGAAAGCUUGACGGAGAAACGCCGCGUGAGUGAUGAAGGUCUUCGGAUCGUAAAACCCUGUUAUUAGGGAAGAACAAAUGUGCAAGUAACUAUGCACGUCUGGACGGUACCAAAUCAGAAAGCCACGGCUAACUACGU
rnacentral:rRNA from 1 species